CAAGGAAUUUUCUGCAAUGGGCGCAAGCCUGACAGAGCAACGCCGCGUGGGGGAUGACGCGCUUCGGUGUGUAAACCCCUUUUCCUUGGGACGAAGGCGAUGACGGUACCAGGGGAAGAAGGACCGGCUAACUACGUGCCAGCAGCCGCGGUAACACGUAGGGUCCGAGCGUUGUCCGGAAUUACUGGGCGUAAAGCGCACGUAGGCGGCUUUCCAAGUUGGAGGUGAAAUCCCCGGGCUUAACCCGGGAACUGCCUCCAAAACUGAAAGGCUAGAGUCCGAGAGAGGUGAGUGGAAUUUCCAGUGUAGAGGUGAAAUUCGUAGAUAUUGGAAAGAACACCAGUGGCGAAGGCGGCUCACUGGCUCGGUACUGACGCUGAGGUGCGACAGCGUGGGGAGCAAACA
rnacentral:rRNA from 1 species